rnacentral:rRNA from 1 species
GAUGAACGCUGGCGGCGUGCCUAAUACAUGCAAGUCGAGCGAACGGACGAGAAGCUUGCUUCUCUGAUGUUAGCGGCGGACGGGUGAGUAACACGUGGAUAACCUACCUAUAAGACUGGGAUAACUUCGGGAAACCGGAGCUAAAACCGGAUAAUAUUUUGAACCGCAUGGUUCAAAAGUGAAAGACGGUCUUGCUGUCACUUAUAGAUGGAUCCGCGCUGCAUUAGCUAGUUGGUAAGGUAACGGCUUACCAAGGCAACGAUGCAUAGCCGACCUGAGAGGGUGAUCGGCCACACUGGAACUGAGACACGGUCCAGACUCCUACGGGAGGCAGCAGUAGGGAAUCUUCCGCAAAGGGCGAAAGCCUGACGGAGCAACGCCGCGUGAGUGAUGAAGGUCUUCGGAUCGUAAAACUCUGUUAUUAGGGAAGAACAUAUGUGUAAGUAACUGUGCACAUCUUGACGGUACCUAAUCAGAAAGCCACGGCUAACUACGUG